CAAAAUCCCAUCAGCAGACGCCCAAACCAGACGACCCCACCACUGUCCAUCACGCUCUUCUUCUUCACGGGAAGAUCGAAAUUCAACGAGCAAAUCGCGCUGCAAACCUGAAAAUCUCAUCCAAACCCAUACCUUAGCAUCCCCAAUGUCAAACCCUCACGUCCCAUUUUCCCCCUUUAGCGGAAGUCACUAUUUUUUCCCAUCCCCCUUCACUGUUGAUCUCGAAUGGAGCAAAGGAAAAUUCAAAUUUUCUUUUGAAAUUUUCCAACGGAUUCACCACCCCCCCCAAAGUUGCUCCAUUUUUUCCUAUAUAUAGUUCUCUCCCUCAGUGAUUAAGAAAACGGAAGAAAAAGAUCGGAUUUUGAGGGCAAUAUUUCACAUACGAAAAUAGCUUACAAAAGGUCACUUGGUUUCAAUUUUAUUUGUUUCCUUUGGUCUGCUCGAGUCUGAACUAGUGUGGUAGGAGAAUCGUGGAAAUCGCUCCCCUGCUCGUUGUCUCGGUUCUCUGCUUCUUAAAAGGUAAAUAACUCGUAUCCCUUUUGUUCACUUUGAAUUAAGUGUGGAGAAAUGAUGUAGUAUUCCGAAGAUACCCGUAUUUGAUUUGUUUGAGUCUUAGCUCUGAAAUUAGUGAUGCAUAUUUCGUUUUCGAGAUGAGCUAAUAUCAUUCGAGUUUGUGGGGUCUUCUCGGACUCGUGGUUGUGAUGUUUGCUUCAAGGUUUAGUCUAUUUACUUAUUAAGCGCCAUGUUACUGCCUUAUUCUCAUUGUUGAAAUAAUGUUUGUUGUCAUGUUAUAUGUUUGGAGGGCGCCAAACGAAUUAUGUUGUUACAUCUUUAACUUUUUGUGGAUACAUGGUUUCCAUUCUUUAAAGCAUGUUCAAAAUCUGUCCAUAUCCAGUUUAAAAAAUUUCCGCUCACGUAUUUCACAUCAUGUAUUGAUCAUAUAUAUAUCUUGCAUUUGGCAGAAUCCUAAAGGAUAAUUUGGAAUAAAAUUAGCCCAUGGCCAUCUCUAGUUCAUACCUAUAUGCAGCACAUUGUUUUAUUUUAUUUUCGAAGUGUUGGUGUUCAUAUGACUCUCGUUGGGCUCGUUUGAAUGUGCCAAGCAAUGAUUGUUAAUGCUUCGUUCCAUAUGUAUCUUAUAUAUGAGUUGCUACGAUUUUCACACUUGGAACAAACAUGCCAUUUUUACUUUAUUUUUCUAUUCCUUGGUUAGAGUUGCUAGUGUUAAUUCACUUCAUUAUCCAUGCUUAAAGGUCAUACAUUUUUUAGCAUAAAAUGUUUAUGGUUUCUGUUGAAAUUCUAUCUUUCCUUGCUUUGGUGUGAUGCAUUAGAUUUGUGGUUAAUAUUUGGUAUUAUUUGUCAUGGCUAGAUCUUGGAUAAUAGUCAUCUUAUUCAAAUAUCUAAGUAGUGUUUAAGCCUUUCCAAAAUCAAAUACCCAUUGGUUUUCUCUUCAUUCAAUUCAUAGGUGUUUUAUUUUUCUUAAAUCCGUGUCUUGAUGUUUACCACCUUCGCUUCGAACGGUGCUGUCCCCAUUCACGUUUUUUUUACAGCAUACUUAGUUCACUGCAUUUUGUAUCAUUUUCUUCAAUUUGGCUAAAAGGAACAAAUUAUUGUCUGGGUAUGUGCAUUAAAUAGUGUGCUACCCAUUUUAUUAAAAUGGUCAGUAGUUUUGUUAAUCCCUCUUGUGUUUAAUUUGGUUGAAAAUUAUGUUCAAAUCCAUAUUCCUUUAGCCAUAUGUUGCUUGCUUUGCUUUUGUUUUCUUUUGUAUGAACUCACCCCUUCCGAGUCCAUGGUGGACCUCUCUCUUACAUCGUUGAGAUGAGCCGUAAAGGCUCAAUUUUACCCUUUUCUCGAGUCAACCCUUCUAUAUAUUUGGUAGCCAUUACUCGUUGAAUAUACACUACUUUUGGAUUUUCUUGGAGAUGUAAAAAUUGUAGUGGCCCAAAUUAACUUCUCGGCAUCGCAUUACAUAUAUUUAUCCGGGGCUUGCACUAGUAAUAUUCUCAUGUAGAUGCUGUAAAGUUUCAGGCACAUAUGUUGCUCAUGAUUGCCUAGGAAGGUUUAACGAGUGUUUAUCAAAUUUAUGUAGCCUUAUGUAUGAUGUUUAUUACACCAUUGCUUGGUUUAGUAGGUUUAUUACACAUUUGUAGCCUUAGGAAAGUUUAAUGAGUGUUUGUUGUCGAAGUUUUGGUAAGUGAUAUAGUGAAGGCGUCUUGACGAAAUUGUUACCUUACCCGAGUUAUUAUCUUCUCGACUAUAAAAUUGCACCUGUAGAUCCUUGGUAAUCCUGACCAUAAUGUUGUUUUUUUUGAACGAUUUUAUUUGGCACCUCAAUUAACUUUAAUUAUAGAUUUUUUUUUAGGAAGAAAACAUCUAGUUACAGUAAUAGUUUACUAUUGUGAAUUUAUAAUUUGUGCUUUGUCUUCAUGUGGUGACAUUUUAUUUCAUCUUUUUGUAUUGGUUCGUUAUGAUCCAUUCCUCCUUACUAAUCGUUUUCUUCUUAUUCUCUUUGCAUAAAUUCCCUCGGAUCAAGUUCUUCAGACUCCUCUUUGCCUUGUAUUUUGAGUUGGGGUUGAAACCCAAUGCUUUCCCUAUUUUUUUGAGGCAACCUCUAUGCAUUCGGAAGCUGUUACAGGUCCUGGAGGCCCAUCAUGUUUGCUGAAAAUUAAUUCAAAGCCCAAGAAAUGAGUUGUAUACAUAUUGUAUACAGCAGUAUACACUCGUUAUACAGCGAAUUACAGGUCAAAAAUGCAAAAAUACAGAGAUGAGGCGAAAUACAGGUGUUCGGAAGCAAGAGAUACAUGAAAAGAGCUAAUAUAUACGCUCAUAUACACUGAUAUACGCUCAGUGUAUACGCAAAAACGGGAAUUGAAAUAGUUCAAAAUUUGCAGCGAAAUUGACCCAAAAAGGGGCCCAAUUUCCUGAUAUCUUUUACUCUUUUAAUUGAUUUGCUUAUGCUUGACUAAUUUUAUUUAACUCUAACUAUAAUUUAUUUUAAUUAACUUAAUUAGAUCCCUCAAAAGAUGAGUUAUUUUCUUAGUGUUGGUUUGUUUUAAAUAUUCUUUUUGUGUUGUGGUCAUUUAUUUUACUAAUCAA
rnacentral:lncRNA from 1 species